GCGGCAGCUUUACGGGAAUAACAAAACAAUAUGGCAACAUACUUGGCGGUAACACAUGAGCAUACGUGUCUUGUUUUGUUUCUGGUAAUCCUUUGAAGAAAACGCCACAGCGCAGGAUCACGGUGGCAGGCAGGGAGCCAGAAUAGCCUGAUGUUCUGUCGAAGGGUGAGGCGGAUGAGGGUUUCAGACGCAUUGCCUCACCCAAAGCCUGAGGCUAAGCUGCAAUGAGUUGGAAUGAGACCAGAUGAGAGGGAGGAAUGAACUACUGGGACAACUCCUCCACUUCAAAAAGCCUCUCCACUUUUACUUCAGGGGAUUUUGGCUGAGGUUAUGCCACAUGACCUGUUUCUAAUAACAUUUCUUUCUUUUUGCCUUUCUGUAAAACAUGCCACACUAGAGUGGAGUCAUUAAUCUUGUUAAAUCUUUCAUACUAAUAUCUGUUGAGCUGCUUUGACUGCUAAAGUCGCUUGAAAUGAGUCUGAAUCGCUAAUUCACUCCAGUGCCAUUUCAUUUCAUUUCAGCAGUGGCAGAUUUGGACUGCUCCGUGCACAAGAAUAUUAAAAAAUAUAUAUAUAUAUAUAUAUAUGUGGGCACAGCUACAGCAGGCUAUAUUCAUGCUGUAACCCCAAUCCAUUCAAGUUCACAACACACUGGCUGGAAAUCCCCACCUCAUGACUGAGCUUCCUGGUUACUGGCUGGUGGAGGCGCCUUUUUUUCUUCUUCUUCUCCUCUCCCUCUCUCAUUCUUUUCUUUAAACAUUAACAAGCCAGGAAAAUAUUAUCUAAUCAUAACUAAAAGGCUAACAGUGUACAUCCUGAAUUCACCCUGGUGAGCUGGCACAAAUAAAAGAGAGAAAAUGCGGGCUGUAAAGUCGCUCCAAUAAGCCUGUAAAUUGUGCCCAUGUGCUACAAUAACACAUUUUUGAGACCCUCUGUAUAAAUAUAAGAUCUGCCAUUGGAUUACAAUUGCUGUUUUUCUCAGGGUCGACCCACCUCAUUCAGUGCACAGUAGUAGUAGCAGCAGCUCACUGCGUCGAGGCGCGGUGCAUUGAGAAAAACAAGCUGCAGCCUGAACCGGAUAAUGCUCUGAAUUUAGGACAAAGCAGCAACCGGAGGAGCUUGAAAGUCGCUUUUUUUUUAUUAUCCCCUGGCGGUCUGUUGCUAACCUACAGCCAUAUUUCUUUUAGCAGCGUGCAGGCUGGUACCGGUGGACCUAUUUUUUUUGCAGGUUUGAUGAUAAUAAUAACAGUAGCGUGGGUUAUUCCGGAGUCUGAAGCUGAACUGGGUGCCUUUUUUGUUGGCAGAAGCUCAGGUGAUUAAGUUAAAAUAUUAAAAAAGGGAGAGAGAGAGAAAAGUGGUGAGUGACAAGAGGC
ensembl:lncRNA